rnacentral:lncRNA from 1 species
UCCAAAAAGGUACAUUAUUAUUUUUUAUCUACACAAUAAGGAAUGUUUCCUCUAGAAUUUUAGACAAUCUAGUUAGAUUUUUUAGAAAUUCUAAUGUUUUUGACAGACUCAUGUAUGUAUUACAAUCAUCUAUUAAAUAACGAAAAAUAUUUUAAUAAAUUCUAGAUGUUCUGAGUGGGUUAAGAACUGAAACAGGCAGGAUUUUAGAGCAAAAUCACUUGUAGAUUUGCAUAGAGGGUAUAGAGUUCGUGGAAAACACUUUCAACCUACCAUGUUUGCAGGAAUGUCUCAAAGACGUCUAAAGAAAUUUGCUGUUCCAACUUUAUUUAUGUCAGGUAGGUUCAUAAGCAUUAUUAUUAAUUCUACUUGUUAUUUUUUUCAAAUCAUCAGUUGCUUGUUUAUCUGCACAAUCGAUUCACUUGCAUAAACGAACAUUUAAAUAAACAAAAAUUGUUUAUAGAUAGGCACUUAGAAAAUCCAGUUUCAGUCUGUUCGUGGUGGUUCUGUGUAAUAUUUUCAAUAUUUUUAUGACAAAUACUAUAUUCCUGAAAAACAAAAACUUUUGACAAUAACAUUUAGCUUUCAAUUUUGCCUUUUGCCUGAAGUUGAGUAAAAUACUAUUUUUUUAACCUUUUAAACACAAUGCAAUAGGGUAUAAAAUUCUAGUUUUCAAUAAAUAUUUUAAUUUAUGUUUUCAGCUGUUUCAGAAUCUACUUCACCAGAUGUAAUUGCUAUUCCAUCAACAUCCAAGGAAGUUACAUCUGAAGCUGUUUCAGAAUCUACUUCACCAGAUGUAAUCGCUAUUCCAUCAACAUCCAAGGAAGUUACAUCUGAAGUUGAGUAAAAUACUUUAUUUUUAACAACAGACACCUACAUCGCUUAGUGCAGACAGUCCAAGAAAACAUGGGUUAAGGUUACAAAUUAGAAGUUGGAAAAGAAAGUUGGAAUUUCAUCUGGAAUAUUCAUUCAUAUUUUUUAUAAAUAAUAUUUAUUUAAAACGGUAAAAUAAAAGCAAAAUGUGUUAUUAAAACUAAAUUUUUAUCAAUUUUACUUUAUAUAGAUAUGUUUCUAAAUACGAUAAAUUCCUAAAUAGAAAUUUUCUUUACAAUUUAGAUAUUUUUAAUUAGCAAGUAAGUUUAGUUAGAUCAUAGAUAUUUAUCUUUUCUUUUUUUUUAAUUUUUCAUUUGUAUUAAUACAUUUUAGGAUCAUUUACAUUUAAGUAAUUGUAUUAGAUUUUGUACCUAAUAUCACAUUGCUAGGAUUAUAUGUAUAAUUUUUGCAUAUUUAUAAUAACAAAUAAAAUGUUAUUUUAUAUCAGUCAAAUUGUUUUUAUUAUGUUCUGUCUACAUUUUCAAAUGAAGGUUUGUAUUGAAAAAAUUUAAAAUUGCUGAAUCAUAAAAUCAUGACAACGUCAAGCUUAUAGUGGGACCCUGAAAUUUACAUAAACAUAGUCCCAAACUGCAGUUAAAAGUCGCUUAUUCCUAUAAAAAAUUCACUACAAAUUAGGUUACUGCAGCAAAAUCCUUAUUACUUAUUGCAAAUCCUGCAUUUUUUCAUAGGCCCCUUUACACAAGUAUAAUAUUAAUACCUUACUACUGACAUCUUAUCCAUUUCAAUUUCCUUACCUAAUUUUAAUAAAAUAGCAUAUUAUCUAAUAAAUCAAGUUAGGAUGCAAAUAUCUUGGUGUAGCAAAACCCGCAAUAUGCAUCAUACUGCAACAAAACC